rnacentral:tRNA from 1 species
ACUUGUAUAGCUCAAUUGGUCAGAGCGCUGCCUUGAUAAGGCAGAGGCUGGUGGUUCAAUUCCAUCUGCAAGUACCA